CUGUGAAUAUUCUUGCCAUUCUGAUUUUAUAAUAAUCAGGACAGGCUAAACAUUUGCCCUAUUAAGACCAUGCAUAUAUCCUCACCUAGUACUUUCCCUAGGCCUGGUUUUAUAAAUACUGGUGAUAAAC
rnacentral:snoRNA from 1 species